rnacentral:rRNA from 1 species
UGGCGGCGUGCCUAAUACAUGCAAGUCGAGCGCGGGAAGCGGACAAUCACCCUUCGGGGUGUGCGUCCGUGGAACGAGCGGCGGAUGGGUGAGUAUCACGUGGGCAACCUGCCUGUAAGAUUGGGAUAACUCGCGGAAACGUGAGCUAAUACCGAAUGAAGUCUUUCACCGCCUGGUGAAAGGAUGAAAGAUGGCUCUUGAGCUAUCACUUACAGAUGGGCCCGCGGCGCAUUAGCUAGUUGGUGGGGUAAAGGCCUACCAAGGCGACGAUGCGUAGCCGACCUGAGAGGGUGAUCGGCCACACUGGGACUGAGACACGGCCCAGACUCCUACGGGAGGCAGCAGUAGGGAAUCUUCCGCAAUGGACGAAAGUCUGACGGAGCAACGCCGCGUGAAGUGAUGAAGGUCUUCGGAUCGUAAAACUCUGUUGUCAGGGAAGAACAAGUUGUGUUCUAACAGGACAUGACCUUGACGGUACCUGACCAGAAAGCCCCGGCUAACUACGUGCCAGCCGCCGC